rnacentral:lncRNA from 1 species
AUUAAUGAAUUUUUUCCUUCAUUGGUCAUAUCCACAACUAUAAAGUCAAUCAAAAAUUCCAACUCAUCAAUCUGCACAAUUGCAUUUUCCACCAUUCCAACAGAUUUCUUCAUAGACCCAUCCGCCACUGUCAAGAUCACUUUGGUAGGCUUUAAUUUUACCCCUUUUAUCUUCUUGAAAUCACUGAGAGGCAUCAAAUUAAUGCUUGAUCCUGAAUCAAUCAAAGCCUUUCCUAAAUCCACAUCAUUGAUGACACAAGGAAGGGUCAAUGCUCCUGAAUCCUCUAGUUUCUGUGGAUGGUUCUUCUUCCUGGGUUUCACCCACUGCUCCUGAUUUUCUUCAUAGCCCAGAUCAAGUAACUUUUCCAGAUAGUACUUGAUCUUCUCAUCAUAUUCAAAAGUUUGUGAAGAUGUUCUAGGAUUAAUGAGUGCCUCCUUGAGAAUCUUGCGGAGUGAUUCUUUAAUAUCUUCCUUCUCCUUUUCUCUUUCUGCUUUCUUAUCUUCGCCUCUCUUAUGCUCAUUAUGAAUCCUUUCCUCCUCUUCGUCCUUACUGCUUCUGAUCUCAAUUGUUUCCUCCUCUGGCUUCCUUUU